rnacentral:rRNA from 4 species
AAAUUGAAGAGUUUGAUCAUGGCUCAGAUUGAACGCUGGCGGCAGGCCUAACACAUGCAAGUCGAACGGUAGCACAGAGAGCUUGCUCUCGGGUGACGAGUGGCGGACGGGUGAGUAAUGUCUGGGAAACUGCCUGAUGGAGGGGGAUAACUACUGGAAACGGUAGCUAAUACCGCAUAACGUCGCAAGACCAAAGAGGGGGACCUUCGGGCCUCUUGCCAUCAGAUGUGCCCAGAUGGGAUUAGCUAGUAGGUGGGGUAACGGCUCACCUAGGCGACGAUCCCUAGCUGGUCUGAGAGGAUGACCAGCCACACUGGAACUGAGACACGGUCCAGACUCCUACGGGAGGCAGCAGUGGGGAAUAUUGCACAAUGGGCGCAAGCCUGAUGCAGCCAUGCCGCGUGUAUGAAGAAGGCCUUCGGGUUGUAAAGUACUUUCAGCGGGGAGGAAGGUGUUGUGGUUAAUAACC